UCCAGGAGAUUACCCUCAAGCUGUUUAGAACUAAACAUUCUGAGUUUUGCUCCACUGCUCCUUCCUUGUGUUAAGAGGUCAGGGUUAAUCUCUCUGGUUCCAGGACCACUACUCACCUGCUUGCCUGCCAACCUUCUGUGUGCCAUGCUCCAGACCUCCAGCUUGCCUUGUCUGCCAUCAGCCCUCUUCCCUACCCUGCCUGCCCACUCAUCUACUCCAUCUCCUGACUGCUGCCUGGCCUGUUUCUUUCACGACUCCCUCUUGCUGCCACUGUGAGCCACAGCCAGUCUCUCGCAUGGACACCACCCCCGGAUCAACAAUAAAACAGAGCAGGCAGAUCAGGAGCUGAAGGCUGAGCACUGCUGUGUCUCUUCUGCUAACCAGUCAACCUGGAGCGCUCGGCUACCUUGGGUGGAAUAGGCCCACAACUCCCUGCCCAAUGUCACCUCAGAACCUGGAGACAAGCCUGCACCGCUCCUCCACCAAGGCCUAGAACAAGGCUAAUUGCACCCUUG